rnacentral:ribozyme from 14 species
UCUGGUUCGGAAAAUCGUGUUUUUUUGGUUGUUGUUUUUUUUUUUUUUUUUUUUUUUU